AUGCCGGUGGCGAAGAGGCCGCCCGCUCCGUGGGCGCUGGCCCUCCCGGCCGGCCGCCGCGCGCGCGCCCGCCUCUGCCUCCGCCUCGCCGCGCCGCUCUCCUUCCUGCUCCUCGUCGCCGCGUUCCUCCGCACCCAGCCCCCGGCCGCGCCGCUCGACGCGCUGCCGCCCUCCGCGGGGCCGGGGAAGGUGGCCUUCCUCUUCCUCGCCCGCGCCGGCCUGCCGCUCGACUUCCUCUGGGACGCCUUCUUCCGCAAUGGGGAGGAGGGGAGGUUCUCCGUAUACGUGCACUCCGCGCCGGGCUUCGUCCUUGACCGCACCACCACCGGAUCGCCGUACUUCUACGGGCGUCAACUCGCGAGGGCCGUCAAGGUGGCGUGGGGCGAACCAACCAUGGUAGAGGCGGAGAAGAUGUUGUUCGCCGCCGCGCUUGAGGAUCCCGCCAACCAGCGAUUUGUUUUGCUGUCGGAUAGUUGUGUUCCUUUGUACAACUUCAGCUACACAUAUACUUACUUGAUGGGUUCACCUAGAAGUAUUGUGGAUAGUUUCACUGACAAAACAGAGAAGCGUUAUAAUCCAAACAUGUCUCCUGUCAUUCGAAAGGAUAAAUGGAGGAAAGGAUCCCAGUGGGUAAUGUUAAUCAGAAAACACGCAGAGGUUGUUGUUGGCGACAAGCAUGUCUUUCAAGUAUUCAGAAAGCAUUGUAAGAUGGUUGUGACCAAUGCUUUGCUUGGACAAAAGCCGGCGAAUGCUAGACGACUAGGAUUUGUACGGCGAAAGCAGAUAUCGAAAGGAGCUGCCCAGGAGGAGCACGAUUGUAUUCCGGAUGAACACUAUGUGCAGACAUUAUUUUCUAUCAAAGGACUGGAAGAUGAACUUGAAAGAAGAACUUUGACCUAUACAUCAUGGAACCAGUCAACUUUAGAUCCUAAAGAUAAAAUGACUUGGCAUCCAACGACAUUUGAAUAUGACGCAGCAAGUCCUGAGCAGAUCAAUGCUAUAAAGAGAAUCGAUCAUGUGAACUAUGAGGUGGAACACAGGACUGAGUGGUGCCAAUCCAAUGGCACAUCUGUACCAUGUUUCUUAUUUGCCAGAAAGUUCUCAUACGGCGCCGCGAUGCAUCUGUUGGAGGAUGGUGCUUUUGGUCUGCUAAAAUCUGCUCAACUACUGGUUAACUUCUAA
rnacentral:rRNA from 1 species